rnacentral:rRNA from 1 species
AUGCAAACUGCCUUCAUGCAAGAUCGGGUCGGCCUGGACCUGGACGGCUUCCCGCUCGACCACGAGUUUCCGGAGGACUACAGCCUCGAGGAAGAGGAUGAGUUGGACAUUGACGGGGAGCCAUUUUUCAAGGACGAGAUCGCCAACCAAGCCGCCGGGGUGAAGCCGAAGCGCAAGAGCAGGCGGACGAAGGCAUACAUGCUGGCCAAAAACAAGCUCCUUUGUGAGUGUUGGAGGAACAUUGGGCAAGACCGCAAGACCGAUGAAGAACAAAAGGCAUCAACCUUUUGGACUCGUGUCCAUCGCGAGUUCCAUGGACGCAAGAAGUUUUCGUCGUACCAAAUGCAAAGCAUGCGCGAGUGGGUAUCCAUUUCGAAGCGAUGGAAGGUGAUCCAACAAGAGUGCAACAAGUUUUGUGCCACUCUUGCGAGCAUCAAGGCACGCACCGUGAGUGCCAUCGGCAUGCAAGACAUGGUAUGCAUGCAACCGCCCCUCUUUGUGUCAUUCCAUUUAUGCUUGUAUGUCAAUUUCCGUAUCCAUUUGCCAAUAUGCUUGCAUGCAACUCAUUUGUAG